CUAGAGUACUCGAAGAGAAUCUUCUGGUCUUGAUUCACUGGUGGGGGCAGUUGGUGCCCCCGUUAGUGCCCAGAUCAGAAACAUAC
rnacentral:snoRNA from 1 species